AUUUCAGCUGCCUCUUUACCAACCUCAAAGCCUGUGUCAACCUCGCUUGAAUCCUAACCAAUUCCAGUAUCUAGUCCCAUGGUAUAUGGCUCUAGAUGUCCCACUUUUACCCCAAAAAAGGACUUAGAAGAUAUACUCAGCCUUGCUUAUUUUUUCUUCCUUUGCAUCUCCUUACUGAGAAGUACCGAUGCCUCCAAAUAUCUCCUACGUGGGACUUCAGGCUCAAAACCGAGACGGCAACAACAUUUGGCCUUUUUUGGUUUAUUUUUAAUCUCAAGAUUUAUGAGAGGUAGCUGACUCAUAUUUUGGCUGGCAAGGCUGGACUCUGGUGGCCAACCAUGGCUUCGCUACUGCCAGACAGCCCAUGAGCCGGCAAGAAUUAGGACCCCAAGAAGUUAAAAGAAACAAGUGUAAAAGUUGAGCUGCAGCCAGGAGAAUUGGGACCCAUCCCUGCCACAGGCCUGUGUCUCAUCCCAACAGUAAGCUCAAGCUCCUGCUGAGGGCUUUUUUGCUCUAGAUUCAAUAAAGAAAA